rnacentral:rRNA from 1 species
GGCUCAGAGCGAACGCUGGCGGCAGGCCUAACACAUGCAAGUCGAACGGAUCCUUCGGGAUUAGUGGCGGACGGGUGAGUAACACGUGGGAACGUGCCCUUUGGUUCGGAACAACUCAGGGAAACUUGAGCUAAUACCGGAUGUGCCCUUCGGGGGAAAGAUUUAUCGCCAUUGGAGCGGCCCGCGUCUGAUUAGCUAGUUGGUGAGGUAAAGGCUCACCAAGGCGACGAUCAGUAGCUGGUCUGAGAGGAUGAUCAGCCACAUUGGGACUGAGACACGGCCCAAACUCCUACGGGAGGCAGCAGUGGGGAAUCUUGCGCAAUGGGCGAAAGCCUGACGCAGCCAUGCCGCGUGAAUGAUGAAGGUCUUAGGAUUGUAAAAUUCUUCACCGGGGACGAUAAUGACGGUACCCGGAGAAGAAGCCCCGGCUAACUUCGUG